ACAGUCACACAUUAGAUACCCCGGUAGUCCCAGCCCUAAACGAUGCGCGUUAGGUGUAUCGGUGACCACGAGUCACCGAGGUGCCGAAGGGAAACCGUGAAACGUGCCGCCUGGGAAGUACGGUCGCAAGGCUGAAACUUAAAGGAAUUGGCGGGGAGCACCACAACGGGUGGAGCCUGCGGUUUAAUUGGACUCAACGCCGGGAAGCUCACCGGAUAAGACAGCGGAAUGAUUGCCGGGCUGAAGACCCUGCAUGACCAGCUG
rnacentral:rRNA from 1 species